rnacentral:rRNA from 1 species
GACGUAGGGGGCCAGCGUUGUUCGGAAUUACUGGGUGUAAAGGGUUCGUAGGCGGUGCGGCAAGUCGGGAGUGAAAUCUCUGGGCUCAACCCAGAGGCUGCUUCCGAAACUGCUGUGCUUGAGUGUGGGAGAGGCGCGUGGAAUUGCAGGUGUAGCGGUGAAAUGUGUAGAUAUCUGCAGGAACACCCGUGGCGAAAGCGGCGCGCUGGACCACUACUGACGCUGAAGAACGAAAGCUAGGGGAGCAAACAGG